rnacentral:lncRNA from 1 species
GUUUACGUAUAUGAUUUGGGUCAAUACAGAGUCUUUUUCAACAAGAGAAAAAUUUAUAUAUGAGAAGCUGAGAAAAACUUUUAAUUUCCAGUUGUGACAGAGACAGACGUAAAAUGAGGGACGCUGUGAUUCUAGGCGUUUUCUGUGUUUUCAUGUUAUCUACCGUCAUCUCCAAGCCGGCAUCAGAUCAUACAGGUGUUGCAAAAGAAUCAUGCGGCUGCGAGCAUCACGCCACGCAUGCACACGGUAUGGGUCUCUGGGACGUGUGCACACCUCUCAGUCAGGAAGAGUGGGAGACAUGUCCAGCUUACAAGGACAGCGUGGUGGACAGUGACCUGCUUCAUAACAUACUGGACAUAAUCUUUAAGACAGAGGAUUAAUUGAUAUUGCGCAAGAUGGCCAACCGCUUGUAUUUAAAUCUGUGAAAUGAAGGUAAUCUGGUGUUGCACUCAAAUACAUGCGCAGUACAUGAACAUGAAAAUUAAGUCAAAACAUGCUUAAUUGGACUCGGAGAAUUGUUAUAUUUGUGAUACACCGCACUGGUGAAAUGUGAACUGGAUAGCUCCUCUGGAUGUGCUACUUUUCAAUCCCCAAAAACAUAAUUUAAUACAUAAAAUAAAAGCGGGGACUG